rnacentral:rRNA from 1 species
UGCAGUCGUACGCUUCUUUUUCCACCGGAGCUUGCUCCACCGGAAAAAGAAGAGUGGCGAACGGGUGAGUAACACGUGGGUAACCUGCCCAUCAGAAGGGGAUAACACUUGGAAACAGGUGCUAAUACCGUAUAACAAUCGAAACCGCAUGGUUUUGAUUUGAAAGGCGCUUUCGGGUGUCGCUGAUGGAUGGACCCGCGGUGCAUUAGCUAGUUGGUGAGGUAACGGCUCACCAAGGCCACGAUGCAUAGCCGACCUGAGAGGGUGAUCGGCCACAUUGGGACUGAGACACGGCCCAAACUCCUACGGGAGGCAGCAGUAGGGAAUCUUCGGCAAUGGACGAAAGUCUGACCGAGCAACGCCGCGUGAGUGAAGAAGGUUUUCGGAUCGUAAAACUCUGUUGUUAGAGAAGAACAAGGAUGAGAGUAACUGUUCAUCCCUUGACGGUAUCUAACCAGAAAGCCACGGCUAACUACGUGCCA